rnacentral:rRNA from 1 species
AUGCUGUUCUGCUGCUCUCUCUCGCCCCCGGGAAUCCAAACUUAUCCGCUCCCACCAUUCCAGCAGCAGAGCAGCUCCCCGCGGAAAGUACGCAGCUUCGGCCGGCACAAGAGCAGCAAGGCCGAGCAUCAAUAUUUCAGGGCGCAAUCUUCCCGGGCGCGGACCAGGGACCAACCUUUGCGUGCCCAAACGCACCCAGAUGAUGGCUACGGCCCUCCGGAGCAAGACCCUGAGGCCGAGGGGCGCUCGCCAGGCUCCCCGGACGCGGAGACGCUUGCUUCCUGGUUGCGUUCCUGCGGCACCGUGGCCGAUGUUCGGCGAGUGCACGGGGUUGCUGUGCGGUCGCCGGAUGGCCCGGGGAUUUUCCUGGCUAAUAAUUUGAUCACUUCAUAUGCGAGGUUCCAUGAGAUUUCAGACGCGAGGAAGGUGUUUGAUGAAAUGCCUGAGAGGACCGUUGUGUCGUGGACGGCUAUGAUGAAUGGGUAUCAGAAAUCGGGCAGCUACAGUGAGGUCGUCAGGCUGUUCUUGGAUAUGAUGGCCAGCGGGGAGCGAGGUAACAGCUUGAGUUUCGUCUGCUUGUUGAAGUCUUGUGGUGAGCAAUCCAAUGCUAAGCUAGGGCGGCAGGUCCAUUGUUGUGUUGUGAAAGGAGGGUGGAGCAACGUGAUUGUGGAUAGUGCCGUUGCACACUUCUAUGCUCGGUGUGGUGAUGUUGCCAGCGCUUCAAUGAUGUUCGAUAAGAUGACCUCUCGUGAUGUCAUCUCGUGGACAACAAUGAUCACGGCUUAUGUGCAGCAUGGGCGUGGGGAUAAGGCCCUUCAGAUGUUUCCGGCGAUGAUCUCUGAGGGAUUUCACCCUAAUGAGUUCACGGUGUGCAGCAUCCUCAAGGCUUGUGCAGAAGAGAAGGCUCUAAGAUGUGGGAAGCAGCUGCAUGGUGCUCUUGUGAAGAAGUUGUUCAAAAAUGACAUCCAUGUCGGCAGCGCUCUUGUUACCAUGUAUGCCAGAAACAGGGAAGUGUCUGAUGCUCAGGCAGUGUUUGAUAUGAUGCCUAGAAGAAACACUAUUACAUGGACUUCUCUGAUCUCGGGCUAUGCGCAGAGUAGCCAGGCUGAAAAGGCUAUCAUGUUGUUUCGACAGAUGAAGACGCGACGGGUGUCUGUUAACAAUCUUACCAUUGUUGGUCUUCUUAGUGCCUGUGGCUCCAUAAGAUCACUCAGUCUUGGUAAGGAACUGCAUGCACAGGUAAUAAAGAAUUCAAUUCAGGAGAAUCUUCAAAUUGGGAGUACGCUUGUUUGGUGCUACUGUAAAUGUGGAGAGUAUACAUAUGCUGCACGAAUUCUAGAAGAAAUGCCAGACCGUGAUGCUGUCUCAUGGACAGCUAUGAUUUCAGGCUACAAUAGUGUUGGUCAUAGUGCUGAAGCACUCAAGUCAUUAGAUGAUAUGUUAUGGGAUGGUGUGACUCCAAAUACCUACACUUAUUCCUCAGCUUUGAAAGCCUGUGCGAAACUAGAGGCUCUGCAAGAUGGAAGGAGGAUUCACGGUGUUGUUAACAAGACUCCUGCCUUCUCAAAUGUGUUUGUGGGAAGCUCAUUGAUCGACAUGUACAUGAGGUGUGGAAAAGUUGACGAAGCUCGACGAGUCUUCAACGCCAUGCCAGAACACAACUUGGUAACAUGGAAAGUGAUAAUUACAGGAUUUGCUCAGAAUGACCUCUGUGAAGAGGCUUUUAAGUAUAUGUACCUAAUGCAGCAACAAGGGCACGACGCUGAUGACUUUAUGCUUUCAAAAGUUCUGACAUCAUGCGGUGAUCUUCAAUGGAAGUCAGAUUCCAUCUCUUUUUCUGGCUCGAAUACUGGUUCACUCAGAUAG